UAGGGAAUCUUCCACAAUGGGCGAAAGCCUGAUGGAGCAACGCCGCGUGGGUGAAGAAGGUCUUCGGAUCGUAAAACCCGGUUGUUAGAGAAGAAAGUGCGUGAGAGUAACUAUUCACGUUUCGACGGUAUCCAACCAGAAACACACGGCUAACUACUGUCUAGAAGCCGCGGUAAUACGUAGGUGGCAAGCGUUAUCCGGAUUUAUUGGGCGUAAAGGGAACGCAGGCGGUCUUUUAAGUCUGAUGUGAAAGCCUUCGGCUUAACCGGAGUAGUGCAUUGGAAACUGGGAGACUUGAGUGCAGAAGAGGAGAGUGGAACUCCAUGUGUAGCGGUGAAAUGCGUAGAUAUAUGGAAGAACACCAGUGGCGAAAGCGGCUCUCUGGUCUGUAACUGACGCUGAGGUUCGAAAGCGUGGGUAGCAAACAGG
rnacentral:rRNA from 1 species